rnacentral:tRNA from 1 species
GCCUCGUUAGUUCAGUGGUAAAACAUCUGUCUUGUAAACAGAAGUCGCUAGUUCAAUUCUAGUACGAGGCA